UGAAUGCUACAUCCGUCCUGCGACGGUACACCGCCUCCGCACCACCGUUUAAACAUGAAGUGUGGAUGUUAGAAGAUCCCAAAUAUGGAAAUAGUCAGGACCCAGAUGAACCUGUGCUGGAAUUCAGUGUGGGGUGGUGGGUCUCAGAGGACAAUUGCUACCCCUGUUGAAGUGAACAACGUGUGGAGUGCAACUGGCUUUGUGGCAUAGCUGGCUCUGGCCUUGGACUGUGUGUUUUUACUUUGUACCUAAAUGGGACACUGGACUUCUAACUACUAUUCAUUGUGUUUAUAAAUAAAAUUUUAGAAUUUUA